rnacentral:rRNA from 1 species
CCUACGGGUGGCUGCAGUGAGGAAUAUUGGUCAAUGGACGAGAGUCUGAACCAGCCAAGUAGCGUGAAGGAUGACUGCCCUAUGGGUUGUAAACUUCUUUUAUAUGGGAAUAAAAUGUUCCACGUGUGGGAUUUUGUAUGUACCAUAUGAAUAAGGAUCGGCUAACUCCGUGCCAGCAGCCGCGGUAAUACGGAGGAUCCGAGCGUUAUCCGGAUUUAUUGGGUUUAUAGGAAGCGUAGGUGGAUUGUUAAGUCAGUUGUGAAAGUUUGCGGCUCAACCGUAAAAUUGCAGUUGAAACUGGCAGUCUUGAGUACAGUAGAGGUGGGCGGAAUUCGUGGUGUAGCGGUGAAAUGCUUAGAUAUCACGAAGAACUCCGAUUGCGAAGGCAGUUCACUGGACUGCAACUGACACUGAGGCUCGAAAGUGUGGGUAUCAAACAGGAUUAGAUACCCUUGUAGUC